CCACUCAGUGUUACAAAAACAUUUAUAUAUAGUUAAUAAAAAUCCAGAUUAUUUUAUUUCAAAUGGAUGCAUUUGUAGAAUAAAAAUAAACUAUACAUUUCUUGACAGUGCCACUGUUAUGUGUUAUUGUAGGGUCAACCUUACAAUAUAACGUGUCUUGAGGCGACUGUUGUUGUGAUUUCGCGCUGUCUACAUGAAUUUACUCUCAUCCUCAUGUUUUGAAUUUUACAGAUUACUCAACAGACAAAUGGGGCUCAAGCAUAACAGCAAUAUCCAUACCUACACUUCAUUUUAAAGGAAGCACAAUGUGAAGAAGGCUCCAGCCCCCACCCCACCCAAGUGGAAGAAAAUGGACUUUAAAGUUUCAGCUUCACCAUUCAUGCUUACAAUAAGCUGUAGCUUUGUGCUGGGAAUCUCACCACAGCUGCCUCUGCGCCUGGAUUCUCUUUGCCUCA
ensembl:lncRNA